rnacentral:tRNA from 1 species
GUUAUCGUCGUGUAACAGUUAGCACGCUCGGCUCGUAUUCGAGAGGUCCAAGUUCGAGUCUUGGCGAGGGCA